AUGACAUUAGAAUCAAACAUUGUAAUCAUAUUAAUUAAAGGUGCUAUAAAUGACAUUAGAAUCAAACAUUGUAAUCAUAUUAAUUAAAGGUGGUAUACAUG